AUUGAACGCUGGCGGCAGGCCUAACACAUGCAAGUCGAGCGGAUGAAGAGAGCUUGCUCUCUGAUUUAGCGGCGGACGGGUGAGUAAUGCCUAGGAAUCUGCCUGGUAGUGGGGGAUAACGUUCCGAAAGGAACGCUAAUACCGCAUACGUCCUACGGGAGAAAGCAGGGGACCUUCGGGCCUUGCGCUAUCAGAUGAGCUUAGGUCGGAUUAGCUAGUUGGUGAGGUAAUGGCUCACCAAGGCGACGAUCCGUAACUGGUCUGAGAGGAUGAUCAGUCACACUGGAACUGAGACACGGUCCAGACUCCUACGGGAGGCAGCAGUGGGGAAUAUUGGACAAUGGGCGAAAGCCUGAUCCAGCCAUGCCGCGUGUGUGAAGAAGGUCUUCGGAUUGUAAAGCACUUUAAGUUGGGAGGAAGGGCAGUAAGUUAAUACCUUGCUGUUUUGACGUUACCGACAGAAUAAGCACCGGCUAACUACGUGCCAGCCGCCGCCGUAAAAC
rnacentral:rRNA from 1 species